rnacentral:misc_RNA from 1 species
CAAAAACGGAAAAACAAUCGAGGAUGUUGCAACAGGAAUGUCAUCUACACCAUUUGAUUAUGGUGCUGGACAUGUGAAUCCAACAGCAGCUGUCAGUCCUGGUUUAGUGUAUGAUCUAACAGUUGAUGACUAUAUAAACUUUCUAUGUGCCUUGGACUACAGCCCGAGUAUGAUCAAGGUCAUUGCAAAAAGAGACAUCUCCUGUGACGAAAAUAAGGAGUAUAGAGUUG